rnacentral:rRNA from 1 species
AUGAACGCUGGCGGCGUGCCUAAUACAUGCAAGUCGAGCGAACAGACGAGGAGCUUGCUCCUCUGACGUUAGCGGCGGACGGGUGAGUAACACGUGGAUAACCUACCUAUAAGACUGGGAUAACUUCGGGAAACCGGAGCUAAUACCGGAUAAUAUAUUGAACCGCAUGGUUCAAUAGUGAAAGACGGUUUUGCUGUCACUUAUAGAUGGAUCCGCGCCGCAUUAGCUAGUUGGUAAGGUAACGGCUUACCAAGGCAACGAUGCGUAGCCGACCUGAGAGGGUGAUCGGCCACACUGGAACUGAGACACGGUCCAGACUCCUACGGGAGGCAGCAGUAGGGAAUCUUCCGCAAUGGGCGAAAGCAUGACGGAGCAACGCCGCGUGAGUGAUGAAGGCCUUCGGAUCGUAAAACUCUGUUAUUAGGGAAGAACAAAUGUGUAAGUAACUAUGCACGUCUUGACGGUACCUAAUCAGAAAGCCACGGCUAACUACGUG